AUUAAUUCACGGACCGGGUUUAAUUAAUUGGAUUAAUUAAUUAUUGGGCCGGACCGGGCCGAGCCUAUUUGGGUUUAUAUAAAUACAUAACUAGGGUUUGAGGUCCAUUAAGGUUUUCAUUAUUCUUGCUAGCACAAGAGAAAACCCUAGAGGCUGCAAUCAUAUUCUCUGUGUGGAUCACCGUUGGAGGCUGGACAAUUGGACAGCUGUGGUGUGGUGGCAAAUCAAGGUUGAUGGAACGAAAAGAAAAGCAAAAAGAUUGCAGAUCUGACAAAAGGUACAAUCUUAUCACAAUUCCUAACCAAACACAAUGAGAUCUAUUGGAUGGGAAUCGAAAUAAUUUUAUUUUCCGCUGUGCAUGUAUAAGAAGAUUCCCAACAGUGUAUAUUCAUCAGUCAACUGAUUUGUUGAAGAUCUCAAUAAUAUAAUCUGCCUUUUAUAAAUUUCCUCACAUUUCAUGAUCUUUUGCCUAAAUGUCUUGACUCAUUGAUACUCAAUCAAGUCCACAGUUCAGUGGAGGAACUUCAGGGCACCCUUGGGGUAAUGCAGGUGCCAUUCCGAUAUAUAACUCUUCUAUAGAGUUCAUUAAUAUCCGAGCUCAUUAGUUUACCCGAAUGUGAGGGAAAGAUAAUUUAUACUGAUACCGAAAAGAUCUUUUUCUCAAGGGUAGAGAACCUGUUGUUGUCUCGGCUGCACUACCGGAAGCUUUGGGGAAGUCAGAAUAGGAGAGUAAAUGCACCCCGACUACAGAUUAGGCUACAUUUUUCACAAAUUUUACGAACAUAAGCUCUUGUGUUCAUUUGUUAAAAAGAAUGCUUUAUGUGGAAGUGAUGAUUGAUUGAUCAAAUCAGAUUUAAGUAAACAUGAUUCUUGUUGCUUCAUUGCCAUUCUUAAGGAUUUUCGUGUACAUUUCUUUCGGUUGCAUA
rnacentral:lncRNA from 1 species